GCGCCCCUCCAGGCGGCCGUCUCUGCAAGGAUCGCCCCCGCCGCGCUCCAUACCUGGUCCUUUGUCAACAGCUCCCGAAGAAUUCAGAAAAUCAAAUUUAUUUCCCGAUUACCGCCGGGGCGCCCCUUUGUGCGGUGAGGCCUCUUUAACGGUUGCGAUUCCAGCCCACUCUGUGAAGAAGGCCUUUUAAGGAAAGCGCGCCCCGCUGACUCCUGGCCUCCGUGGGGACUCGAGGGCGAGGUCUUCGCGUAAUAAAGACGCUAACGAGCCCCAAAACGUGGGCUUGUCAAGUGUCCUUCCUGCUAACGGGGAUAAAUCAAUAGGCCUCUUGAGUUCGGAGGGUGUAUUUGCUCGCCCCCCUCCCCCCUUAGGAAUGAACGGAUAGAUGCUGACUCCAUGGCUUGCCAGCCCAGCGCUGCCCUCAGCCCGCGGGGAGCCAGUGGUCAUGGCGGUGAAUUGGAUACCUACACCAGAGAAGGCCUGAGCGGCGUAAUCAAAUAAGGGAGCCACUUGAACUGAACUCCCAGCAGGAGCAGGAGGGAGGCCUGGAGAGGUUACAGGUGGUCCUGGAGGUGACACUGGCAGUGAUGAGCCCAUGGCUAUGCAUGUCUUCUUUCAGAUGGUCCUGGAGGUGACACUGGCAGUGAUGAGCCCAUGUCUAUGCAUGUCUUCUUUCAGGUGGUCCUGGAGGUGACACUGGCAGUGAUGAGCCCAUGACUAUGCAUGUCUUCUUUCAGGUGGUCCUGGAGGUGACACUGGCAGUGAGACUUUGAAGAGCAUGUCAAAACCAUCAAAGCACAGAAUGUUGGUGCCGGAUGGCGCUUUCAAGUUCAUGGUCCACUCCAUCCCAAAGACAGAUGGGAAAACCGAAGCCCAUGCCAAGAGAAGUUCCUUCCCCAAGACCACAGGCAGAAAUGUUUGCCCUCCUAGUACGACCAUUAUUCUGCUGUAUCAGUCUGCCAUUUACAACAAAGUCCUCGUUAUAUGACAGAGAACUAUUUAUAAUGCUAGUAUUGAAGGAUAUGAUUAGCAUGUUUGCUGUGGGUUGAUCUGUCAGACUUGGCCUGGGAGCAGCUGUUACAUUUAGAGAAACAAGUUUGAAUCCAGAAGUCAUCCAAACUCUGUGAUAAAAACAGUAGACCAUGUCAUGCUAGGAUCCUAUGUGAUUAGGGCUGAUUUGUCCUCUGUACUAAGUUUUUAUUUUAACUCAUUGUUGGGCUUUUGGUUUAUUUCCUUGUCACUUUUUCUAUACAUAGGUUUGACAGCUGUGUAAUCAUAGAAUACUAUAUCAACUACUUUAUAUUUUGUUUUGGGGAGGGGGGUUUGAGUAAAACCUUCUUGCU